GUGGGUAGCGGUGAAAUUCCAAUCGAGCCCGGAGAUAGCUGGUUCUCCCCGAAAUAGCUUUAGGGCUAGCCUCAAGGUGAGAGAUACGGAGGUAGAGCACUGAAUGUCCUAGGGGGUAUUGCACCUACCGAAGACUAUCAAACUCCGAAUGCCGUCAUCUUAUACUUGGGAGUCAGACUGUGGGUGAUAAGAUUCAUAGUCGAAAGGGCAACAGCCCAGAUCGUCAGCUAAGGUCCCUAAAUGUAAGUUAAGUGGUAAAGGAUGUGGGAUUGCACAGACAACCAGGAUGUUGGCUUAGAAGCAGCCACUCAUUCAAAGAGUGCGUAAUAGCUCACUGGUCGAGUGAUCCUGCGCCGAAGAUUUCCGGGGCUAAAACUUACUACCGAAGCUACGGCAUCAGUAAUGAUGGGUAGGGGAGCUUCCCAUACGGGUUGAAGCAUGACCGUAAGGACAUGUGGACAGUAGGGGAGUGAGAAUGUUGGCAUGAGUAGCGAGAUGUGGGUGAGAAUCCCACAGGCCGUAAACCCAAGGUUUCCAGGGGAAGGUUCGUCCGCCCUGGG
rnacentral:rRNA from 1 species